rnacentral:lncRNA from 1 species
GUGGGAUGGAUAAAAUGAUUAGGUCAUCCUGAUGAGACUGAAGAACUGUUGAAAUACUCCUGAAAAGGCCACUUUCCAAGGCUAGCUGUGCAAAACGUAGCAUUUACAGCUGCCUCCAAAAAGUACUUUAGUUUUAGUUUUCUUCCGCUAAUGAAUUAUUAGCAUAUCCAUCUUCUCUGCUGUUAUGUGUGGUUUGAGUUCUACUGUAAACUGUCAUGUGUCGGGUGAGGCCUACUGUAAACUGUCAUGUGUGGGGUGAGGUCUACUGUAAACUGUCAUGUGUGGGGUGAGGUCUACUGUAAACUGUCAUGUGUGGGGUGAGGUCUACUGUAAAAUGUCAUGUGUGGGGUGAGGUCUACUGUAAAAUGUCAUGUGUGGGGUGAGGUCUACUGUAAACUGUCAUGUGUGGGGUGAGGUCUACUGUAAACUGGGACAGAUGGAGACUUGCCUUCUCUGUAGCAAGCUCUGUCUUGGCACAGCAUGGUGGAUACAUGAUCUUGUACAAUAUUAAUUUCAAGACUGCCUGAUUCUAUCUAGAAGCAAAAGUGUAUUCUGUAGCUACUAGGCAGCAGUACAAGCCUUUUCCUGUCUAGAGGCAACAUGUAUUCAGUAGCUACUAGGCAGCAGUACAAGCCUUUUCCUGUCUAGAGGCAACAUGUAUUCAGUAGCUACUAGGCUGAGGUACAAGCCUUUUCCUGUCUAGAGGAAACAUGUAUUCAGUAGCUACUAGGCUGAGGUACAAGCCUUUUCCUGUCUAGAGGCAACAUGUAUUCAGUAGCUACUAGGCUGAGGUACAAGCCUUUUCCUGUCUAGAGGCAACAUGUAUUCAGUAGCUACUAGGCUGAGGUACAAGCCUUUUCCUGUCUAGAGGCAACAUGUAUUCAGUAGCUACUAGGCUGAGGUACAAGCCUUUUCCUGUCUAGAGGCAACAUGUAUUCUGUACCACUAGGCAGUAGUACAAGCCUUUUCCUGUCUAGAGGCAACAUGUAUUCAGUAGCUACUAGGCAGCAGUACAAGCCUUUUCCUGUCUAGAGGCAACAUGUAUUCUGUACCACUAGGCAGUACUACAAGCCUUUUCCGACAUUUUUUAAAUUUAUUUCAGCUUUAUUUAUCAUGCGUCAGACAGUUGUUAUGGUUGCAAAAUAAAAAGUGCUUUAAAAACUGGGUUCCCCAGAUAAUGUUCUGUUAAAUGGAACUAUGUCACAUCUGUCAAAAAACAGGACCUAGUCUUUUUGACCUUGAAGAGGUCGAUCUGGUAGAUUGUGGAUAUGAUGUCAUGCUCACCAUGCUCUCUGAAAGGCAAUUGGAUUACAAAUCUCUGUUACAAAUACUUGGUUGUAGAAUAUGUUGUUGUUGUUGUUGUUGUGUUAAUCAUAUAAAAUUCCAAUAGAGAAGCCAAUGCUGGUUACCCAACAGGCCUGAGAGGGGAGUGGGGGCACAUGAAAGAAGGUAUUAGUGAAAAGUCUAUAAAAAAAAAUAGUUUCUUUUGGAGGAGAAAAAUACACAAAGAUUGAUCAAAUCUACACAUCAAACUAAUGGCACAUACAUACACAGGAUCAAAUACAAAAUUAAAAACAUAGGAACAUAUAAGCUGAAAUUUUAAAAGAAAAAAAACUCUCUUUUUUAAAAAAGAUUGAAAGUGCUAGAAUUCAGAUUAGCUCAUAGAAACCCAGGGAGGACAAACUCAAUGCCAAUUGCCUUUUCUUUUCUUUUUUAUCAAUAAAUGCUCAAUAAAUGAAUAAAAAGACACAUGCUAAAUUUGAGUGCUACAAUUUUGGCUGGGAUUGGAUAUAGCCAUGGUCUUCCAAAUGUACACUUGAUGUACACAAACAAAAAAAAAUCUAUGUUUUAAGCAUAGCUUUUAAACAAUUAUAUCAAUAUUUAUAUCCAAUUACCACUAUAAGAAAGUGGCAAAUUCUUUCAAAGAAAGAUAUGCAAGACACAUUUCUUCACGAUCAAUCAUUAAAUGUUCUUAAUUUAGAUAAUUUAUCAGCCUAGUGGAAGUGUCAACAUGAACUUUGGGGAUUCUAUCCUGAACGUAUUACUUCACAAGUAUUGGUUGGUAGUGGCGCUACGUCACAACCAAACAAAUGUUUCUUUUAAGUUGUAUUUAUUUUCACAUAUUUGUCAACUACUUCUAUAGGUCAGUCUAAUUAGCUGACUGAAGGUAGGUUCUGGUCCGUUGGUCAAUUUGAAUAACAAUUCUACCAUUAUUAAAAUGAAAUAAUAAAAUGUUUAUUUUAAUGAGCAAUUGUGCAAGAUUUUGUUUCCUCUCCCCAGGUUUUGGGAAUAAAAUGAGGUGAUGUGUUGUGUUGUUUCAAGGUCCUGUUUUAACAAACAGAAAAGAACAUAUCAUAUAACAACAACAAAACGACUAAGACAUAUCGCAGUCAGUCGUCCCAUGCUUUGAAUGUCAAAGAGAGGGCUGGUGACUUGUUUGUUCUGAAUAUUGUGUAUUUGUUUUAGACCCUUUCCUCCUGAAUCCAGGAAGCAGCUGAGUGAGGAGUACAGAGAGGAAGGGAAACAGUUCAAAUCUGUACUACUGUGCAUGUUUACAUCUUGCAAUGUUGAAAUGUUCUCUGUUCUACGGGCUAAAAGCAGCAAUAUGUUUUGUUUUCCUUAUGUUAUAUAGUUUUAGUUUUUUUCUUUAUACUUGAAACUACAUGUUUACUAAUAGUUGCAUAUGGACUGGGCUGAGUACUCAAACAGACAAAGUCAAGAGAGUUGAGAAAGUUGCAAACCAAAAGGAUGAUAUAUUAAUACUGUUUAUAUCAGUCCUUGUACUCUCAAGAUGCACUUUGACUGUCUUUUGACUAAUGGACUUUAUAUACCCCAUGUGCUGGGUGUUCGAUCUAUCAAUCAUGAUGUCUGUAGGAAAGUGAAACAUAUCAUUCAUUUGUUGGCCAUACCAAAGACAGGACAUUAUUCAUAUUUUCCAUCAUACAAAUAUCACUUACGUGAUACAGAGCACGUAUUAUAGUUUUACAACUUUGGGCGUAAGUUUUCAACAGGCUAGUGAAAAUGAAAAAGGCAUCUUAAAAUCAGACCGCUUAAUCAGGUUGUGUUUCAAACUGAGAAAAUAGACUAUCAACGUCAGUCAUUCUUUUUAAAGUCCUACGAGACGAUCAAAGAUGUCUCUGUAAAAUCCUACUGGAUUAUUAUGCCACUAACAGCCUACUAACUACACAUUUGUCAAAGUCAACAAUCCAAGUUUUUUUUUUAGUAGUACAUGAACAGAUGAAGAAUAAAUACAGUGGAGAA